UUUUUUAUAGUAUAGUGGUAAGUAUUCCCGCCUGUCACGCGGGUGACCCGGGUUCGAUCACCGGCAACGACG
rnacentral:tRNA from 1 species